CUUCGCCCUGUGCGGCAGGAAAACUUUAUUUCAUCACUCUCUCCUCUGACAUGUCAAAACACAGAAGCUUCUGCACCCUUAGGGCCUCUGUUCUCUGGUGGAAAAAAUAAGAGGCUGGGUAGCUGAGAGGGCAUGUUGGCAUUCAGUGAUGGGCAGGGCCUGAUUCCUGUCCUGACUGAGCCCCCAAUUCUUUUGCCUCCAAGCUCAGAGAAGGGAGUGAAGAUGUUUCUUUCCUGAAGAAAUGUGCUGUUUGGGAACACGUGCCAUCCAGUCCCUCUGACUCCGUGCCCUGAUUUUCUCUGGGUGUCCAUCCCCCGCUUUGAGAGCUCACGUCCUUGCAGGGAAG
rnacentral:lncRNA from 1 species